AAGGAAAAAAAAGCAACAGGCACCAAAUAUCCACCGAUGUCACCGCCCACUGCGUGCCUUCUUAUCCACAACACAUCGCCAUUCCUCAUCACCCAAGCGCCGUUCCGCCACCAUCUUCCUCCUGCUGCCUGACCACCCAUCGUUGCUCCUCCUCUUCCUCUCCUCUUCUCCAUCCACCUCACCACCCAAGUGUUGCUCUCCUGUUCUUGGCAACGGUGGCUGGCCAGAGCCACAUCCCAGCUGCCAGCAUCGGUGUGCUUUCUGGCUACGGCUGGGGCGGCGGUGGCCUGCUCGUCGGCGCACUGGGGCCAAGGCGGAGCCUCCUCCCGUGCAGUGGUGGUGGUGGAGCCCCUCCUCCCGGAGGGUGGCUGGGGCAACCGGGGUUGCGGGGCAGGUGUGCAAUUGGCUCGGUUGCGCCAGAUCUGGCGGCCGGCCAGCACACACGGGGGCGGUCUGGUGGUGCUGCUCUUCUGCCGGUGGCCACGGAUGUGGGAGUGCCGAAGCUACCUCCGGUGAAAGCCCCCGGGCCCUGGUUUUCUCUUCCAUGAGCUGGUCUCUGUACCACGAAUUAAUAUGGGCAUCAAUUUUCUCUGUAUCUUCAGUUCGUCUCUCUCUCUCUCUCUCUCUCUCUCUCUCUCUCUCUCUCCUUCUUUAGGAUUAUUAUCUCAAAUGGCAAUUAAGCUGAGAUCUUUUUUCUAUUAUAUUAGGCUUGUCACCCAUGGUGCUUUUCUUUGGAUUCAUGCGCCUCUCCUCUCUGCCCAUUUUCGAUUGGUGACGCAUAUAAUACAUGCGGCAGGUCGCUUUCUUUAUUUCUCUAGGGUAAACAUGAACAUCUCAUCCUCUUUUUGUUGGCUUGUUGAUCUUGUAAUGCAUGAAUAUAUCUAAGUUGGUUGCAUUUGAUGUAAUAGAGCAGAGUGGGACUAUUAAUUGGCAGGCACAAGACUUGGUUCGUAAGGCAGGGAGAGCUGGUGAGGGUUGGGCCGCGCUGGGGAGAGGAGGGGCUGAAGCGGAACGGUGGUGCCGGUUGAUGCGAUCGCCGGCGUCCGCCGGACAGCGCGGCAGCGGAUUGAGGGUCGCGUGGGUCACGAGCCUCCUGGCGGCUGGGAUCUGGAGGCGAGGGAGAGAAAGAGUCGACGAUAUCCUUUUGGAUAUCUUCAUAGAAGAAACGAAAUCAUGAUAUCCGGGGAAGGCAAGGGAAAAUAGUGUAUGCUGUUUUUUUAUUUUGAAGAACAUGUCUUAGCCCUUUGAUUGAAAAUGUCAGAUGUAGAUGUGGUUUUGUGACCUACUACAAAUACUUCAUCCAUAUUCUGCUUAUAUAGAACUGCCUUGAUUCACAUGUGACUAGCUCUUUGCUUGGGCUAUUCUCCUCAAUAUUAUCAUAGUGUGUUCUUUUUCA